rnacentral:rRNA from 1 species
AUUGAACGCUGGCGGCAUGCCUUACACAUGCAAGUCGAACGGCAGCAUAAUCUAGCUUGCUAGAUUGAUGGCGAGUGGCGAACGGGUGAGUAAUACAUCGGAACGUGCCCUGUAGUGGGGGAUAACUAGUCGAAAGAUUAGCUAAUACCGCAUACGACCUGAGGGUGAAAGUGGGGGACCGCAAGGCCUCAUGCUAUAGGAGCGGCCGAUGUCUGAUUAGCUAGUUGGUGAGGUAAAGGCUCACCAAGGCGACGAUCAGUAGCUAGUCUGAGAGGACGAUCAGCCACACUGGGACUGAGACACGGCCCAGACUCCUACGGGAGGCAGCAGUGGGGAAUUUUGGACAAUGGGCGAAAGCCUGAUCCAGCAAUGCCGCGUGUGUGAAGAAGGCCUUCGGGUUGUAAAGCACUUUUGUCCGGAAAGAAAUGGCUCUGGUUAAUACCUGGGGUCGAUGACGGUACCGGAAGAAUAAGGACCGGCUAACUACGUG